rnacentral:rRNA from 1 species
GUAGGUGGCAAGCGUUGUCCGGAAUUAUUGGGCGUAAAGCGCGCGCAGGCGGUCCUUUAAGUCUGAUGUGAAAGCCCACGGCUCAACCGUGGAGGGUCAUUGGAAACUGGGGGACUUGAGUACAGAAGAGGAAAGCGGAAUUCCAAGUGUAGCGGUGAAAUGCGUAGAGAUUUGGAGGAACACCAGUGGCGAAGGCGGCUUUUCUGGUCUGUAACUGACGCUGAGGCGCGAAAGCGUGGGGAGCAAACAGGGAUUAGAUACCCUGGUAGUCCACGCCGUAAACGAUGAGUGCUAAGUGUUAGGGGGGUUUCCGCCCCCUUAGUGCUGCAGCUAACGCAUUAAGCACUCCGCCUGGGGAGUACGGCCGCAAGGCUG